UACGUAGGGGGCAAGCGUUUGUCCGGAUUUAUUGGGCGUAAAGAGCGUGUAGGCGGUUUGGUAGGUCCGCUGUGAAAACUCGAGGCUCAACCUCGAGACGCCGGUGGAAACCAUCAGACUAGAGUCCGGAAGAGGAGAGUGGAAUUCCUGGUGUAGCGGUGAAAUGCGCAGAUAUCAGGAAGAACACCCGUGGCUAAGGCGGCUCUCUAGUACGGUACUGACGCUGAGACGCGAAAGCGUGGGGAGCGAACAGG
rnacentral:rRNA from 1 species